UUUGAUGAAGUUUCACAAUAUUUAUCCAGAAUAACUAUAGCCCCCCAGAAGUCACAAGCAGAGCAAGAGGAAAAUAGGUUUAGUUUUAGGCAUUCUGCAUCAGUUUCUAGCCUAGCUGAAAGAUUGGUUGUCUGGAUGGCUAAUGUCGG